AGUGAACGCUGGCGGUAGGCCUAACACAUGCAAGUCGAACGGCAGCACAGUAAGGGCUUGCUCUUACGGGUGGCGAGUGGCGGACGGGUGAGGAAUACAUCGGAAUCUACUUUUUCGUGGGGGAUAACGUAGGGAAACUUACGCUAAUACCGCAUACGACCUACGGGUGAAAACAGGGGAUCUUCGGACCUUGCGCGGUUUAAUUGACCGAUGUCGGAUUAGCUAGUUGGCGGGGUAAAGGCCCACCAAGGCGACGAUCCGUAGCUGGUCUGAGAGGAUGAUCAGCCACACUGGAACUGAGACACGGUCCAGACUCCUACGGGAGGCAGCAGUGGGGAAUAUUGGACAAUGGGCGCAAGCCUGAUCCAGCCAUACCGCGUGGGUGAAGAAGGCCUUCGGGUUGUAAAGCCCUUUUGUUGGGAAAGAAAAGCAGCAGGUUAAUACCCCGCUGUUCUGACGGUACCCAAAGAAUAAGCACCGGCUAACUUCGUG
rnacentral:rRNA from 1 species